GGUUUAUGUUUUGGUUGUUGGAAUACUUAUUUUUAGUAUAAUGAGUGAAAAUUAGGGGUUUACCUAUAGAUAAUUAUAGUACUGAGAAGGAAAGUUUUUUAUUUGUUUUUAAUAUUAGGUUGGUUAUUACCUUUUGUAUUAGGGGUGAUUUAUGUGUUUUACGUUUGUUUUUUCUCGAUGAACAUCGGGCUAUUUUUCCUUAAAGAAUUCUCGUUGUAUAGAGUUGAGUAGGGGAUUAUAGGUAUGAAAUAUUAUUCAAGUUGUUUUUUAUCUGGUUCUUUAAGAAAUUUAAUAGAAGGUAGUGUUAUUAUGGCGGUGAAUAGGGAUUAGCUUAUUUAUUUUUUAUAUUGUUUUAUUUUUGUGGUUUGUUUGUUAAGUUGAUAGUGCUUGUUUAAAUGGAGUUAUUAUCGGGCAAGAUGUUUUGAAUUAUUUUUUUGUUUUUAUUUUGAUAUUAGGGUUAUGUUAUUAAUUUUAAAUGGUUUGUAAUAAUGAUUAUAUUAGUAAUAUUUUUUGUUAAAAGGCUUUUUGGUGGUUAUCUAGAAGGUGAAGGAGGUAAGCUAUUUUUAAAAUUGGGGUUGAUGAAUUCGGCAAAGAUGAAUUUCUGACUGUUUAGCAAAGACAUUGUUUUUUGUUGAGGUAAAAAAUAAGUUCUGUCCACUGCUAUGUAGUGAAGGGCUGCAGUAUUUUGACUGUAUGAAGGUAGCAUAAUCAUUAGCUUCUUAAUUAGAAGCUGGUAUGAAGGUGAAACAGGGAUUUGCUGUAUUUUUCCUAUUUGUUGAAUUUUAUUUUCGCGUGAAAAAUCGCGGUUGAAUUAAAGGGACAAGAAGACCCUAAUAAGUUUUAUUUUCUUUCUUAAUGAGUGUAUAGGUUUUAUGAUUAAUGCAAUUUAUUUUAGGGGGUUUGGCUGGGGCGGCAGUUUGUUUAACACAGACUAAUUUUUAACUUUUUAUGGCGAUAUUUUGGACCUAGUUUGUUUAGAUUAGUGUAAAAUUACUGUAGGGAUAACAGCGUAAUUUUUUUUGAGAGUUCUAAUUGACGAUAAA
rnacentral:rRNA from 1 species